UACGACGGCGACGACUGAA
rnacentral:sRNA from 1 species